CGAGAUCUAGCUAGCUUAGCUCUACGCAAAAAAAGAAAAAAAAUCAACAUCUAGCAGCAGCGACAUGGCAUCGUUUAGAAAAAGCAGUAGCAGCAGGCACUCAAUCCCAUCGAGAAUUCCUUUCUCACCACUCAGUUCUUAUCUUCUCCACACAUCCACCCAACUCGCUGCCUUCAUCUUUCUUUUCCUGCGACAUUUGCCCACCACCUAGCGCCACUUCUCCACCGGCAGCCGACGCGCACCACCAGACUUCCUCCUACGCCUCCGCCAGAGGCCCGGCCAGGCCUCGCGCGUGCAGGCCGGCCGCCAGCCCGGAACCCAUACACAGCCAGCCGCGCUGCAACAACGCCGCCGCCCGUACGCCGCCUCCCGCACCAACCACGCCCGAGCAAGCAACUCCCCUCGACCCCGGCGCCUGCAGCUCCUCCUCGGCUCCCCGUCCGGCACUCGACACCGUCACCGGCUACCCCCUGCAACUCGAGCCGAAGCAUCACACCCGCGCCAUGAAUCUCCGACCCUGAUGCCCAAGCUCCCGCCGCUGUUCAGCGUCAGAUCCGCGCCGCCCCACCUUCUCCGACCGUGUCGGGAGCCGCCGUCGCUGCCUGCUUCGUCUAGGCUUGGAGACGAUGAACGCCAGGAGCACCCGCGACGUCCAGCGCCAAGUCCUGCUCGAUCGAGACCCUCAGCGCCACUAAGCACCGGUCCUGCUGCCCCUGUUACCCCAGCCACCUACCGGAGAGAGAGGGCCUCCCCACCACCCAGCGCCACUCCUCCAUCCAGCGCCCACGAGCUGCCCUGCCCGAGUUCCUUCCUACCUGCUAAAGCCUGGUCGUGGUCCACCGCAGGCCACAACGGCAGCACGUGUUCCAGCCACCCAUGGCUCUGCUCCGCUUCCCCUCUUCCCUGAGGGCGGCACACGUCGGCGUGGUGGUGGGCGCACAACGGGAUGGGGGUUGCCCGGCGGCACAUGGCGGCGUGGGGUGGGCCGAUGGCGCGUGGCGAGGCGGGGCGUGGUGUGGGCAGGAGGUGGAGAUGGGAUAGGUAUUUUUUUGGAGGGGAUUGGGAGGCAGGGUCGUGCGGGUGGGUUAUUUCUUUUUUUCUCUCGUCGGUACCGGUUCGGGUUGACUUAUAAUAGUACGGCGGGUUGUAUAUCCGAAACUACAGGUACCUUUGUGUAAAAUGACGCGACGGUGAACCCGGAGACCCAAUCGAUGCUUUAUUAUUAAGGAGAGACGUACAGAUAUCUGUAAAAAGAAACACGUACAUAAUUAAAAAAAGAAACAAGUAUAGAGUCCUAACAAGCCACGCACACAAAAUCGGGUACAGAUAUCUGUAAAAAGAAACACACAUAUAUAGUUUUGCUGGAAAAAAGACAAAAUCUGACCAAACUUGCACGUACGUAAUAACUAGCAGAAAAAACAUACAUGUACAUAAUGACUAGCAGGAAAAAAAUCCAUCCCUCCUUAGGAAUCACGUACAGAUAUCUGUAAAAAGAAACAGUACAUAAUUAAAAAAGAAACAAGUAUAGAGUCCUAACAAGCCACGCGCACAAUUCACCCACGUACCCAACUCAUCUCCAUGUGCUGAUGUAAAAAAAAAACCCAUCUCCGUGUGCUGAUGCAUCUGCCUAUUCUUCUUUGCCUCCCUAGAGUUCGGUUAGGUCUCUAUCUAGACGUUGCCUUGACUCCUCCCGUCCUACGAUCUUCCACGCCCUGCUCCGUCAAUGUUCCCUCGAGUCCUCCCGUCCCCGACCUUCCAUGUUCUGCUCGGCUGGGAGGUCACAUCCAGCCUAAGAAUCAACAAGCUGGAGUUUUAGUCAUGCCACUAGCACCGUCCUAUGAUUUCCACGGCGCUACUCCACCUGGAGCUGCACCUCCGGCCUCCGGUUUGAGAAGCUGCAACUUCGGUUGUAGCAGCAGCGCCAUCAUCAUCAGCGGCCCAGGCUAAUGCAGUGCAGCACUGCUUUCUGAUAUUCCAUCAGUAGGCAAAUUGUGCAACAUGCACCGUUCCAUGGAUGAUAUUGAGGAUACAAACACAAUUACACUUCUAUUUUUGUAGUAUCAUCAAGAUAUACGGCUUUUCUUGGAUGCCCUUUUUAAACUAUGCCAUCAGCCUCUACAGAGAUAAA